UACAGAGGUGGCAAGCGUUGUUCGGAAUUACUGGGCGUAAAGCGCGUGUAGGCGGCUCUUCAAGUCAGUCGUGAAAUCGCUGGGCUCAACCCAUGCAAUUGCGAUUGAUACUGUUAGACUUGAAUGGGGUUGAGGCUGGCGGAAUGCGACAUGUAGCGGUGAAAUGCUUAGAUAUGUCGCAGAACACCGAUUGCGAAGGCAGCCAGCUGGGCCUUUAUUGACGCUGAGGCACGAAAGCGUGGGGAGCAAACAGGAUUAGAAACCCGUGUAGU
rnacentral:rRNA from 1 species